rnacentral:rRNA from 1 species
GAUGAACGCUGGCGGCGUGCCUAAUACAUGCAAGUCGAGCGAACGGACGAGAAGCUUGCUUCUCUGAUGUUAGCGGCGGACGGGUGAGUAACACGUGGAUAACCUACCUAUAAGACUGGGAUAACUUCGGGAAACCGGAGCUAAUACCGGAUGAUAUUUUGAACCGCAUGGUUCAAAAGUGAAAGACGGUCUUGCUGUCACUUAUAGAUGGAUCCGCGCUGCAUUAGCUAGUUGGUAAGGUAACGGCUUACCAAGGCAACGAUGCAUAGCCGACCUGAGAGGGUGAUCGGCGACACUGGAACUGAGACACGGUCCAGACUCCUACGGGAGGCAGCAGUAGGGAAUCUUGCGCAAUGGGCGAAAGCCUGACGGAGCAACGCCGCGUGAGUGAUGAAGGUCUUCGGAUCGUAAAACUCUGUUAUUAGGGAAGAACAUAUGUGUAAGUAACUGUGCACAUCGUGACGGUACCUAAUCAGAAAGCCACGGCUAACUACGUG